UACGAAGGGGGCUAGCGUUGUUCGGAAUUACUGGGCGUAAAGCGCGCGCAGGCGGUCUUCCAAGUCAGUGGUGAAAGCCCGGAGCUCAACUCCGGAACUGCCAUUGAAACUGUAAGACUUGAGGAUGAGAGAGGUGAGUGGAAUUCCCGGUGUAGCGGUGAAAUGCGCAGAUAUCGGGAAGAACACCCGUGGCGAAGGCGGCUCUCUGGAACGCAACUGACGCUGAGACGCGAAAGCGUGGGGAGCAAACAGG
rnacentral:rRNA from 1 species